UGUUAAAACACUGAGUUAUGGCAACACUGUUUGAGAAUAUUGUUGCUUAGUUUUCCCUAGCCCUUUCUGUGGAUGAUAGCAUUGUCAAAUAAUCCUCUAUAUAUUUCUGUGAGUUCUUAAAAUCUCCACUAAUCUCAUUUUGAUUGGUUUAGGGUAUACUACAUUUCAGAGCACCUUAGUCCAGAUGCCCCACAUACAAUCCCGUUUUCAGUUCUAUUCUGAAGUAAGUCUAUUGUGUUGAGCUCCAGAUCUACUUGUCUGUUGGAGAGUUUGACACAAUGACAUCUGCUCUGAAAAUCCCAUUGAAGCUCAGGUCUUCAUGCAACUUUCAUACAUGCCUCAAUCUGUUAAACUUUUUCAGAAUGCUGGAAGCAUGAGUGUACCCAGGUUGGGUAACGAAGGAAGCCUACUAAAUUCCUUUUAAGUGUCUGUCCUAAUCCAGGCGAUUGCUAAGAAAAGAACAGUAAAUAAUUAUUUGAAAAAUGAGGUACAAUCAUGGGUCCUUCAAGAAUGUAAAAAAAAGAUAACCUGAUGGAUGAGUUAAUAGGCACACAUCUAUUCAGACAGGCACACAGGGAUGGAUGAGCCUGAUGCCUGUGAAGCAAUCACUCAUUAGACAUGUUAGCUAUUAUUAUUAUCUGUUUGUGCUACAUAGCACUAGGAGCCUCCUGCUGAGACUUCAAUGCCAUUGUGCACACAGUAAGAGAGUACUGACAGCCUCAACACAUUUCCAGACUCAGUGGUCAGAGGUCAGCAAAUAAUUGCAUUAUUUGUGCACAGGGGGUGGAGGCACCCAAAGAUGAAACAACUUGCUCCUCAAUUUGUCAGUGAUGCUUCAAGGAGGAGUCAUUCUAAGGCUGCUGGAUGACUUCUGGUAGCCAGACCAGUUUGGGCAUUCUUUCAUAAUGUUGUUGUGCUAUAUUCUUGUUGUGUUGUAGUUGUGUUGUUGGAUUCUCAAAUUGGAUUCUCCCAUAAGAGAAAAAAUUUCCAUGACUUUCCUUUAAAUUAUGAGCGGAAUAUCAAAUACAUGUGGUGUACAUGUGGUUCCAGCAGCUGUGCCUGGAAUAGAUUUCUCAAAGUUUCAGCUCAUGGAAAAAACCUAGUUGUCUUUCUUGUUGCAUUUUCACUUAUAUUUGUCUCUCCUUUUAACCUGCUGUUAGAGACUUAUGGAGAAAAGGAAUGCUUCCCAAAGAAAGACAAAUGAGAUAAGUUACCAAAUUAGUUCAUUUCAGUUGCUUUUGUUCAAGUGACAGUUCUAAAGGACAGCAGGCUAAAUGACUCAGAAGUGUGAGAAGAAUUUGAGUACAAUUUAUUAUCUUGACAUCCUUUAUAUAAUCUUUGUUUUGUGCUGUACUUCAGAAACUGUCUCAUUAAAUAAAUUUCCAAACAUUUCAUUAUUUUCUUUACCUAAAUCUAUUUUUAAGCAAUUUCUUUUUCACCAUGGGAAGAUUAAUUUUUUGACAGACAUCUGAGGACUGUGCACAGGAUUUUUAUAUACCUCUUCAUCACAUGCCGCAUACACCUGCUCAGGGGUGUAUGUGUGCUCCCCUAAGCAGGGGCACCUGUCUUAGAAUUGCUGUUUUAAUGGGUUUUGUCAACUUUUGGCCCCCACCUUUUUUUAGAUUUGAGUUCUGCUGGCAAGUUCAUAUGCAUUGUAUUCUCUUACAUCUUUGUCUUUUGAUUCAAUUUAUCCCAGUAUUGGUGAUUGGCAUAGUUUUUAGUUUUCCUUUUCUCUCCCUGUCAAGGUCAGAUUUUAGGAGCCAGGCUGGCAGAGCCAAGCAGCAGCAUGCUAUUUCCCUGUGCCUCUGAAGGUUACAGGGGGUACAGGCAAUAAAAAACCACAUCAGAGCUGCCUCAGAAUGACAGGCCCAGAUCUGAGACUUUUGUCAGCUUUUAUCUGUGCUACUUGAACUGAAUCAGAUUUGGCAUCAAUUUUAUCUACAAUUAAACAAGAAGUUGACUUUAAUAAGAGCACAAAGAGAGACUGCAGUGCUGGCCUGGCAUAAAAAGGUGUAGAAAAAGCCAUUUCAAAUCUUGACAAUAGACACAGACACCAAAACCUUGAAUAUCCUAAUGGUCUACACCUCCUAUUCUAUGCUUUGUAUAAAUGUUUCCUUUGCAGUCUAAUUUAUUCCACCAUUUUUAAAAAGUUCAUGUGAAAGAAAAGCAGAGCAUAUGUAAUGAUACAAUUCACAUUUUGCCAUUAAUCACAUGUACGUGUACACGUUUUUGCUUAUCUUACGUAAGAAUAUCUACAGUGGGUCAAAUCAUCUGCUUUCCAGUAGUGGUCAAAAAGCUUGGGGCACUCUAUGGGAUCAGAACAAAUACAUAUGGUAUUUUUCUGAUGAUUCUCUCAGUCCAUUAUCAUCUGCCCUUCAGGCACCUCCUGAACUGGGAGUUGUUUCCAUGAAAUUAGCAACUCCUGGUGCAUUUCUCUUCUGUGAAAUUCUCAAGCCUCUCCUUGAAGCCAUGUAAGAUUUUACCAUCCAUGACUCGUGGUGAGGAAUUCUGCCCCUCAACUGCAACACCACCUGCAAGAGUCUCUUUUUUGAUUUGAGACUAAUUUCUGGCAGCCUCAUUUGAUGUACCAACUACCACAAUAUCGUGCCUUAGGGAGCUACAGUGGGAAAAGCUCUGGUAAUGGAAUGUAGCACUUUGUAGGAGGCUAUGUUUUUUACUGUUGGGUCCCAAGUGAGAGCAAGUGAGAGCUCCGCCUCUUCAUAAAAUGUCUGAAGAGUAUGAAAGUGCAACCAAUCUAGUGAGGGGAAGGAGGUUUGCCUCCCGUUAUCAGAACUGAUAUGGUUAUAUAUAACUCUAACACUUCACUCUAAUUUCUCCUGCUCUAUUUUUCAGGUUCAGUAUGCUUCUGGUCUCAUAGUUUGGGAAACCAGAUACUGCAAGGAUUGUUACAUUUAAAUAAACAUUUUAAUGCUUGCUAUAAUACUGCAGCUAUGUCAUAACCAGAAAACAUGGAUUUUAAAAAUGUAAUAGUAAAGUUCACAGAGUUGCCUCUGCAAGGUAUGCUACAUGUGGAUUUAUCCAGAGAAAGGACAGGGAGAGGAGCUGAGGACCAUGGUUCUGUAGCCAUCUCACUGCUAUUCCACACUCCACAGGUAACCCCUCCCUCUGUAUGCCCCUCUGCAACCUCCCUUGAUCACGGGACUUGUCCAGCUUGAUCACUGUACUGAAAUGCCUGGUCAUUGGUGUUGAGAGGUUUUGUGUCAAUGAGAGAUGGCAAGGCAGCACUAUUGAGGACUGAGCCCAGCAGCUGUAGAGGCCAACCCUUCCACUCCUGCCCUACCAGCAAAGGCUCUGGGAUGCCUUGUGGAAUGGGAGAUUACCAGCAUGAAUGAAAACCUAAUGGUGGACUGAUGGCUGUAAGGAAUUCAGUUCUUAAUGUACCGCAUCAAAGACUGAGAGCAAGAAUACGGAUCCCUUUGGAGAUCCUUGCAGGGUGACAGCACAGGACACAGGAGGCUGGCUGACUGCACCCAUAGCAAGCUCAUCUACUUAGGAAGGAGCAAACCUGAAGGAAUUUGUUCUAGGACCAUGACUUUAUUUUUACAAGUAAUGCACAACCAUUUCCUAUAAAACAACAUCUCGGAUCUUGGACCACCCUUAUCAUGGGUCUGGAGAACGGUUCAUCCACCUCAAGUCUGCCUUGAAAACUGCCUUGCACUUUUCCAUAUCAAAAGACUUUCACUGAUUAACUUGGAGGGCUACAAUUUGAAUUGUGCAAAGAUCAAUGGAUCAGUGCUGGAAUGGCCUUCACAUUUGCCCUCCACGCACUACUUAAAUGAAGAAAAGAUUUAUCCUUUUAAAAAUGCAUUUUUGAGCUCUUUUUAUUGCCUUCUUUUCCCUUGAAAGUGCAGGUCUGGAGUAGGAGUGUAGCAAUUUUCAAAUAUGUGAAAUGUAUUUUUCAUAUGAUUGAAGGGCCAAAGAUAACUUAGCAUGAUUUGGACACAUGAAGAGAUGAACUCGUCAAUUCACCUAUUCUUAUUUGAAUAAACUGUGAAUAAAUUGUAUUUUACAACCUGAUCAUUUGCCUAUAUCAUAAUCAAGAGUCUAGGAAGCUGUAUUGUGUACUGUCAUAUAAACUUGUAAAUGCUAUACCACUGUGGUUCAGAUACUUCUGUCCCAGGGCAAUAACUUCUGCUCAGCAAUUCUUUCACCAGUGGCUUUCCAGUCUGGAAGCAUACAAGAAUUUUCCUAUGUCCAUGUCAAGCUUUAUUUCAGGCUCAGUUUAAAACAUCACUUCUCCUGGCUUAUCUCUUCUGUAUUGACCCAUAUGGCAAAACUCACAUGAUGGAAAGCACCCUGCCAGGAGGAUUUCCAUUUGAGGCAACAUUGAACCUGGUGACAGACUCUGUGUACCCUGGAGUAGGGUAGGAACUUGGACAUGCUUUAUCAUCAGAGGAAGAUUACAAAUUUAACCACAUGUUCUGGAAGGAUAAUUGCUUCAGAUUGCCAUUUUGUAUAAUCUUCAUAAUCCACGGAGUUAAUUUAAAUGCUCCAAACAUGCUAGUACUUGGGUAUAUGAUGAGAACAAGUACAUUUUUUUUCUGGGAUUUUGAUACAAACCAAAGAAAAACAGACACUCAGUUCAGCUUUUAAUUGGAAAAUGGAUGGCUGUCAGACUCCUUUGAAAAAGCCUUUUCUAAAUGUGCCUUACUGGUGUUGUCAUACUCAAUUUUUUCCUGUAAGGAAAAUAGAUUGCUUGCUUCUCAGUGGCAAAUUACUGUACCGAUGUACUCAAAACAUGGUGGUAUUAACCCAGUCAGCUGCACUGUAUUAUCAAAAUUUUCAUUUCUGCAAAAAUUUAUUGGGUGACUGGGCUGUUGUAGUAUCAGAGUACCUGCCCACCUUAUGUCUACUUACAAUAUUACAUAUGCUGCUCCUUUAAUUUUCAUAUAUGUUUCCCUGGAGUUCACAGUAUUCUGAAGAAUCUGUAGUUAAUAUUCUAAGAGUGCAGUUUAUAUUAGCUGAGCAGAAUGGCCUUGCAUUGCUCCCCCAAGCAGCUGGCAUUUUCAACGAAAAAUAUACUUCUGCAUAUCCAUGCACUGCUUCCCAGAGUACUGAGCACUGACUGUACAGACUUGUGAAGGUGUUGUACUAAGAGAGGGUUCCUAUUUCAAGCAUCAGAGUUAAAGCUGAAAUGUACAAAAGAAAAUCUGAAGCACAUCAUUCAUGAAUCAGGUUCUAGAUGAUUACAAUGAUUCCUCCUUAAAAUUAAAGACAAAUUUGUGAAAAUUCCUGUUAAAUAUUAUUUUUAAG